CAGUGCUCCAAGUCAGCAAGCCUGCUGAUGGCUUCCUGCUCCUCGACAAGAUUCUGGCUAAGAGUCCUGUGGAUCCAUACCGUGGAAGGACAGAACCAACUUCUGAAAAGAGAGAACCGAUUCCGACCUCCACGUGUACACUGCAGCACACAUGAUCACCGCCCCAAUUAAAUAAAUAAAUGUAAUUUUACAAGAGACUGA